AUACGACCGUACCGCAAACCGACACUGGUGCGCGAGAUGAGUAUUCUAAGGCGCUUGAGAGAACUCAGGAGAAGGAACUCGGCAAAUUGACACCGUAACUUCGGAAGAAGGUGUGCCCUAUUAGUGUGUAGUGAACAACGAAGCAUGAAUGGGUUGCAAAAAAUCGGUGGCUGCGACUGUUUAUUAAAAACACAGCACUCUGCAAACACGAAAGUGGACGUAUAGGGUGUGACGCCUGCCCGGUGCUGGAAGAUUAAAUGAUGGGGUGCAAGCUCUUGAUUGAAGUCCCAGUAAACGGCGGCCGUAACUAUAACGGUCCUAAGGUAGCGAAAUUCCUUGUCGGGUAAGUUCCGACCUGCACGAAUGGCGUAACGAUGGCCACACUGUCUCCUCCUGAGACUCAGCGAAGUUGAAAUGUUUGUGAUGAUGCAAUCUCCCCGCGGAAAGACGGAAAGACCCCAUGAACCUUUACUGUAGCUUUGUAUUGGACUUUGAACAGAUCUGUGUAGGAUAGGUGGGAGGCUUUGAAGCAGGGUCGCUAGAUCUUGUGGAGCCAACGUUGAAAUACCACCCUGGUGUGUUUGAGGUUCUAACCUAGGUCCAUUAUCUGGAUCGGGGACAGUGCAUGGUAGGCAGUUUGACUGGGGCGGUCUCCUCCCAAAGCGUAACGGAGGAGUUCGAAGGUACGCUAGUUACGGUCGGACAUCGUGACGAUAGUGCAAUGGCAUAAGCGUGCUUAACUGCGAGACUGACAAGUCGAGCAGAUGCGAAAGCAGGACAUAGUGAUCCGGUGGUUCUGUAUGGAAGGGCCAUCGCUCAACGGAUAAAAGGUACUCUGGGGAUAACAGGCUGAUACCGCCCAAGAGUUCAUAUCGACGGCGGUGUUUGGCACCUCGAUGUCGGCUCAUCUCAUCCUGGGGCUGUAGCCGGUCCCAAGGGUAUGGCUGUUCGCCAUUUAAAGAGGUACGUGAGCUGGGUUUAAAACGUCGUGAGACAGUUUUGGUCCCUAUCUUCCGUGGGCGCUGCAGAUUUGAGGAAGCCUGCUCCUAGUACGAGAGGACCGGAGUGGACACACCUCUGGUGUAUCGGUUGUCACGCCAGUGGCAUUGCCGAGUAGCUAAGUGUGGAAGAGAUAACCGCUGAAAGCAUCUAAGCGGGAAACUCGUUUCAAGAUGAGAUCUGCCGGGGCCUUGAGCCCCCUAAAGAGUCGUCC
rnacentral:rRNA from 1 species